rnacentral:rRNA from 1 species
UACGGAGGGGGCUAGCGUUGUUCGGAAUUACUGGGCGUAAAGCGCGCGUAGGCGGACCUGCAAGUCGGGGGUGAAAGCCCGAGGCUCAACCUCGGAACUGCCUUCGAUACUGCGGGUCUCGAGUCCGGGAGAGGUGAGUGGAAUUCCUAGUGUAGAGGUGAAAUUCGUAGAUAUUAGGAAGAACACCAGUGGCGAAGGCGGCUCACUGGCCCGGUACUGACGCUGAGGUACGAAAGCGUGGGGAGCAAACAGG